UAUUUUAUCGUGAAACGCAGAUUUAAUGAUGAAGGCGCGUCGGAACCCAAACGUCAAGAAUCGCCGACGUUCACAGAAGCAGCUACAAUGAGCGGAGAAUCUGAGAGCCAGGAAUGCGGAGCACCUUGCUACUACUAAAAUGGAGAACCCGGACCUGUUAGCGACAUGGAACUGACCAGGACCGUCGUGGGCUCCUCAUGUGCCACCCCCGGAUACCUUUUCUGAUUGUGGUGUUUACAGUACAGUAGUGUACAUAUUCAUGAAAAAAAAAUUGUAGCUACUUUUUUUACAUUUUUAAAAAACGCACUCUGCAUGGUUUUGGAGUUUCGACUUCGUGCUAGAUAAAAACCCCCAGGCAAGAGCAAACAAUUUUUUUUCCUAGCCUAUAUUUGUGACCCACUGCAAAGGCCUCUCUUUUCUUCCGCCACCCAUCACGUUUUGCCGCCUGCUUCUGCUAGCCGCAGCAAAAUACGUCGAGGUCAUCUCGCCUCGUUUUUUUUGGUCUACCUCUGCCCCGACUAGUCGGGUGGUGUCCAGUUAGCAAACUAUACACCCUGUUUCUAUUUUAAAUUAUAUGUGUUGUAUUUUUUUCUUGUACAAUAAAGUGUUUACUUACUUACUUUUUGAAUUCGGUUAACUUUAAGGGAAGGUUCUUUAGAUUAAAUACGAUUAAUUUCUCAAAAAAGCUAGCGUCUUGACUGUUACGUUUACCGAGUUUGAAAAAAUUAUAGUUAUUUGUUUUACAAGGGGGCAAAGUAGUUGUUUAACUGGACGUGCCAAUAUUGAUACCUGAGCAAGGGAAAGAUUUCAAUAUUGAACCGCGAGCGUAGCGAGUGGUUCAAA